ACUACGGGUGGCAGCAGUGGGGAAUAUUGCACAAUGGGGGAAACCCUGAUGCAGCGACGCCGCGUGAGUGAAGAAGUAUUUCGGUAUGUAAAGCUCUAUCAGCAGGGAAGAAAAUGACGGUACCUGAGUAAGAAGCCCCGGCUAACUACGUGCCAGCCGCCGCGGUAAGACGUAUGGGGCAAGCGUGGUCCGGAUUUACUGGGUGUAAAGGGAGCGUAGACGGCAGCACAAGGGUGGAGGGAAAUGCCGGGGCUUAACCCCGGAACUGCUUUGGAAACUGUGCAGCUGGGGUGCAGGAGAGGUAAGUGGAAUUCCUAGUGUAGCGGUGAAAUGCGUAGAUAUUAGGAGGAACACCAGUGGCGAAGGCGGCUUACUGGACUGUAACUGACGUUGAGGCUCGAACGCGUGGGGAGCAAACAGGAUUAGAUACCCGAGUAGUC
rnacentral:rRNA from 1 species